UGCGCCUUGCCAGCCCGCUCAGAAACUUAAAGGAAUUGACGGGGGCCCGCACAAGCGGUGGAGUAUGUGGUUUAAUUCGAUGCAACGCGAAGAACCUUACCAGGUCUUGACAUCCCCCGCGAUGCUUUUAGAGAUAAAGCGGAGGUAUUCGGGGAGACAGGUGGUGCAUGGUUGUCGUCAGCUCGUGUCGUGAGAUGUUGGGUUAAGUCCCGCAACGAGCGCAACCCCUAUUGCUAGUUACCAUCAUUAAGUUGGGGACUCUAGCGAGACUGCCAGUGAUAAACUGGAGGAAGGCGGGGAUGACGUCAAAUCAGCACGGCCCUUACGUCCAGGGCUACACACGUGCUACAAUGGCCGAUACAGAGGGCAGCUACCUGGUGACAGGAUGCAAAUCUCCAAAGUCGGUCUCAGUUCGGAUCGGAGUCUGCAACCCGACUCCGUGAAGUUGGAUUCGCUAGUAAUCGCGCAUCAGCCAUGGCGCGGUGAAUACGUUCCCGGGCCUU
rnacentral:rRNA from 1 species